AGCUUUGUGCAGUAGCAGUAUCAUAGCCAAUGAAGUUUAUCUCAGGUGAUUAUUGCUAAUUGAAAAAAACCCU
rnacentral:snRNA from 1 species